CAGGAAGGGAAGUUGGAAGUUCUCCAAACCCGGAGUGGGGAGAAGACCCUGAAAUUCCUGCGGAAUUGUCGCCUGGAAGUCGGGAUGAGGAACAACGUGAAGUGGGAGCUGACCCCGGAGAUCGUGGCCCGGCACUUCCUCCGGAAUCUGGGGGUGUUUGUCCCCCA